UACGUAGGGUGCAAGCGUUGUCCGGAAUUAUUGGGCGUAAAGAGCUCGUAGGCGGUUUGUCGCGUCGACUGUGAAAACUGGGGGCUUAACUCUCAGCUUGCAGUCGAUACGGGCAGACUAGAGUUCGGUAGGGGAGUCUGGAAUUCCUGGUGUAGCGGUGAAAUGCGCAGAUAUCAGGAGGAACACCGGUGGCGAAGGCGGGACUCUGGGCCGAUACUGACGCUGAGGAGCGAAAGCGUGGGGAGCAAACAGG
rnacentral:rRNA from 1 species